rnacentral:misc_RNA from 1 species
GCAAACUUGGUCAUUUAGAGGAAGUAAAAGUCGUAACAAGGUUUCCGUAGGUGAACCUGCGGAAGGAUCAUUGCCGAUCGGACGCGCUUACCGCUUUUCACGAAGAAGUGGUUCGCGCGUCUUUUUCGACCCAACCCAUGUGAACUAGUAUCUUGUGUUUAACACCCUCGAGUCUGUCUGUCUCUCAGAUGGACUCGAGGGAUGUCCAAACAUUUUACAACAAACCACAUUCUCUUAAACCUCUUGACUGAGACAUGUAGGUCACGCCUAAAAACGUUGAUCUCAAAAACCUAACCAUUACAACUUUUAACAACGGAUAUCUUGGCUCGCGCAUCGAUGAAGAACGCAGC